UUCAGAGGUCUCAAGCGUUGUUCGGAUUCAUUGGGCGUAAAGGGUGUGUAGGUGGCGCCGUAAGUCGGGUGUGAAAUUUCGGAGCUUAACUCCGAAACUGCAUUCGAUACUGCGGUGCUUGAGGACUGGAGAGGAGACUGGAAUUCAUGGUGUAGCAGUGAAAUGCGUAGAGAUCAUGAGGAAGACCAGUGGCGAAGGCGGGUCUCUGGACAGUUCCUGACACUGAGACACGAAGACCAGGGGAGCAAACGGG
rnacentral:rRNA from 1 species